rnacentral:rRNA from 1 species
UACGUAGGGGGCAAGCGUUGUCCGGAAUUAUUGGGCGUAAAGCGCGCGCAGGCGGUCCUUUAAGUCUGAUGUGAAAGCCCACGGCUCAACCGUGGAGGGUCAUUGGAAACUGGGGGACUUGAGUACAGAAGAGAAGAGUGGAAUUCCACGUGUAGCGGUGAAAUGCGUAGAGAUGUGGAGGAACACCAGUGGCGAAGGCGACUCUUUGGUCUGUAACUGACACUGAGGCGCGAAAGCGUGGGGAGCGAACAGG